GGCGCUGUGGCUUAGUUGGUCAAAGCGUCUGUCUCGUAAUCUGGAGAUCCUGGGUUCAAUUCCCAGCGGUGCCU